AUUUCUAAAAUUUGACUGUUCGAUCCUUUCAAUUUUGGGCCAUAUCACUUAUUAUUCGAAGGGGUGUUCACUAAAAAUUUACUGACUGAAUAGUGAACAGUGUAGACAAGGAUCGCAUUGUGGUGAUGCGUAAUGAAGCGGAAAAUACCGACUGUAAUUACAUGUCUUCCAGUCUGAAAACUAUGUGGAAAUCUUCUGCGUUAGUCUCGCAGUAAACCUGUGACAAAUAAGAAAUACAACUAUCAAAUAUUUGGUUCAUUAUAUUCAUAAUAUCUAAUAUUUCAUGGACUUAGCUAUGUUGUUUUGAAAAUUAAACAUUUUUGAUGACAUUGGAGACAUGACCUUAAAGUUCCUGUGCCUUUACCAAGUUUCAGACAGACAUGUAAACGUUUAAAAUUUCUUAUCUUAACUGAUCGAUCUACUGUCAGGUCAUACGUUCAUAUAUGUGAUUAUCUUUGCCUUGUACGUCUACAUCGUGACAGUACAUAUGCAUGUCACUUGUUAAAAUGCCGUAAAGUGUUACAUUAUAUUAUCUAGUGUAUAGUAAAAUUAGGAAUUUUGUACAGACAAUAUAUCUUCAUCAUAGACUUAUAAACAUAGCUAGUUGAAUUAAUUGUUUUGUGUAUGUAUAAAGAAUUCAUAAAUAGUUCGAGUGAUAUACAUCUCCUAAUUUGGUAUAAGAAAGCUCCGUUAAAAGAUGACAGCUAAAGCUCUGUUUUCAGUUAUUGUCAUUGCCAGUUGUUUUGUGAAAGCUAUACAUGGGCUUUACUGCUUGCAGUGUGACGAUGUUCCCAGUGCUCGAGAUUGCCAUACAAUCAAAAAAUGUGCAGCUGCUGAGGUGUGCUAUUCAACACAAAUUGUAUCAACUAGCGGACACGUAUACAGGAGAAUGGGCUGCCGAGAUAAAAUGCAAUGCACGAGUGGGAUUGUGGAUAAGAGAUCAAGUAGAAGAGACGCUGGUGAUCUUCCAGUGUGUGAUAGAUGCUGUGAUUCGUUGUUCUGUCAGUCAAACCUUUGUCAAGACCAAGCUAUACAUGUGCCUUACUGCUUGCAGUGUGACGAUGUUCCCAGUGCUCGAGAUUGCAAUACAAUCAAAAAAUGUGCAGCUACUGAGGUGUGCUAUUCAACACAAAUUGUAUCAACUAGCGGACACGUGUACAGGAGAAUGGGCUGCCGAGAUAAAACGCAAUGCACGAGUGGGAUUGUGGGUACUAAGAGAUCAAGUAAAUGUAUGCUGGUGAUCUUCCAGUGUGUGAUGGAUGCUGUGAUUCGUUGUUCUGUCAGCCAAACCUUUGUCAAGACCAAGGCUUUAACAAAGACCGAGGACCAAUUUGUUUUAAAUGCGACCAUGUGGCGAACGGAGACAACUGCACACAAAUAACUGAAUGUGGGCAAGAUCAAACAUGUUAUUCAGGAAUUACACUGUCUCCAGGAGGAAGUAUUUUGACAAAGUUAGGCUGUUAUUCUAAAAGUGCAUGUAAUAUUCUGAAAGCAAGUAUUGGUACCGGGCAUUCUGCAUCCUCAUGCUGGGACUGCUG
rnacentral:misc_RNA from 1 species